UACGGAGGGUGCAAGCGUUAUCCGGAUUUACUGGGUUUAAAGGGUGCGUAGGUGGGCAGGUAAGUCAGUGGUGAAAUCUCCGAGCUUAACUCGGAAACUGCCAUUGAUACUAUCUGUCUUGAAUAUCCUGGAGGUGAGCGGAAUAUGUCAUGUAGCGGUGAAAUGCUUAGAUAUGACAUAGAACACCAAUUGCGAAGGCAGCUUACUACAUAGUUAUUGACACUGAGGCACGAAAGCGUGGGGAUCAAACAGG
rnacentral:rRNA from 1 species